UGGGGAAUAUUGGACAAUGGGCGAAAGCCUGAUCCAGCCAUGCCGCGUGUGUGAAGAAGGUCUUCGGAUUGUAAAGCACUUUAAGUUGGGAGGAAGGGCAGUAAGCGAAUACCUUGCUGUUUUGACGUUACCGACAGAAUAAGCACCGGCUAACUCUGUGCCAGCAGCCGCGGUAAUACAGAGGGUGCAAGCGUUAAUCGGAAUUACUGGGCGUAAAGCGCGCGUAGGUGGUUCGUUAAGUUGAAUGUGAAAGCCCCGGGCUCAACCUGGGAACUGCAUCCAAAACUGGCGAGCUAGAGUAGGGCAGAGGGUGGUGGAAUUUCCUGUGUAGCGGUGAAAUGCGUAGAUAUAGGAAGGAACACCAGUGGCGAAGGCGACCACCUGGGCUCAUACUGACACUGAGGUGCAAAAGCGUGGGGAGCAAACAGG
rnacentral:rRNA from 1 species